UUUAACUGAAGAGUUUGAUCAUGGCUCAGAUUGAACGCUGGCGGCAGGCUUAACACAUGCAAGUCGAGCGGGGGAAGGUAGCUUGCUACCGGACCUAGCGGCGGACGGGUGAGUAAUGCUUAGGAAUCUGCCUAUUAGUGGGGGACAACAUCUCGAAAGGGAUGCUAAUACCGCAUACGUCCUACGGGAGAAAGCAGGGGAUCUUCGGACCUUGCGCUAAUAGAUGAGCCUAAGUCGGAUUAGCUAGUUGGUGGGGUAAAGGCCUACCAAGGCGACGAUCUGUAGCGGGUCUGAGAGGAUGAUCCGCCACACUGGGACUGAGACACGGCCCAGACUCCUACGGGAGGCAGCAGUGGGGAAUAUUGGACAAUGGGGGGAACCCUGAUCCAGCCAUGCCGCGU
rnacentral:rRNA from 1 species